rnacentral:rRNA from 1 species
GUGAACGCUGGCGGUAGGCCUAACACCUGCAAGUCGAACGGCAGCACAGUAAGAGCUUGCUCUUACGGGUGGCGAGUGGCGGACGGGUGAGGAAUACAUCGGAAUCUCCUUUUUCGUGGGGGAUAACGUAGGGAAACUUACGCUAAUACCGCAUACGACCUACGGGUGAAAGCAGGGGAUCUUCGGACCUUGCGCGAUUGUAUGAGCCGAUGUCGGAUUAGCUAGUUGGCGGGGUAAAGGCCCACCAAGGCGACGAUCCGUAGCUGGUCUGAGAGGAGGAUCAGCCACACUGGAACUGGGACACGGUCCAGACUCCUACGAGAGGCAGCAGUGGGGAAUAUUGGACAAUGGGCGCAAGCCUGAUCCAGCCAUACCGCGUGGGUGAAGGAGGCCUUCGGGUUGGAAAGCCCUUUUGUUGGGAAAGAAAAGCAGCAGGUUAAUACCCCGCUGUUCUGACGGUACCCAAAGAAUAAGCACCGGCUAACUUCGUG